UCAGACGGAUUGUUAGAUUACUGGAUGGUGAACAAACUGAAGGCGGAGCAGGAUUUCCUUAAUGUGAGCAGUAAUCUAUUGCUGUUCAAGGACAUGUGGCAGAAUUUAGCAGAGUUUAGUGGCGGACAUGGCGUGUCAAGACUCAUGACUUCCGUAGGAAGGUACGCUGGAUACG